UAAAGUGAGUGUUUUGGACUGUAGUCCUCCUUUUGGCCGAUGUCCAGCACAAGUGAGCUAAUGUUAAUGCUAGUAUGCGUGUUAACAUCUUGAUCCAAACAAAGCCAUCGUACUACUUUUGUUCACAACAAAAGUUUUCCUCAUCUCUUAAGGUGACUAGAUAUGCGUUCACCUCAUAGUUGUUAUGAUUUAUUACCGGUUAGCUGUGUCCCUUACCUUCUCUCGUUAGUUCGAUCAAACAGGAGAAAUAUAGUGGUAAAGAUAACAUAAACACACAGGAUGGCCACCGGUCUCCUACAUGAAUUAAACAGGAACCGAGGAUUUCCACUUGUUGAAACGAUCCAGUGGUUUCUAAAGGAUGUAGAUAGUAACACAGAGCACAAGGUGAUUAUUGUGGGGCUGGACAAUGCUGGGAAGACCACUAUACUUUAUCAAUUUUUAAUGAAUGAGGUGGUGCACACUUCUCCUACGAUUGGCAGUAAUGUUGAGGAAAUAGUGGUAAAGAAAACUCACUUCCUAAUGUGGGAUAUUGGUGGUCAGGAAAGUCUCCGCUCCUCUUGGAACACAUACUACUCCAACACUGAGUUCAUCAUACUGGUAGUGGACAGUACUGACCGAGAGAGACUAGCCAUUUCUAAAGAAGAGCUCUACAAAAUGCUUGCCCAUGAGGACUUGCGCAAAGCUGCAGUGUUGAUCUUUGCUAAUAAGCAAGACAUGAAGGGUUGUAUGUCUGCAGCAGAGAUUUCCAAAUACCUGACCCUCAGCUCCAUCAAGGAUCAUCCCUGGCACAUUCAGUCCUGCUGUGCGCUCACUGGAGAAGGGUAAGAUUGUUGCUCCGUAUACAAGGUUAAUGAUGCUGUCCUGAUGCUAUAGCUGUCACAGAUGCUAUAUUAUGAUUAGUAAAGCUGGGUAUCGAUACAAAUUUCCUGAUUCAUUAGAUUCUAAUUCACUAGCUCUCAUUACGAUGUUGAUUACAUUUUAUUUGAUUCUGACUAGUUUGGAUAUAUUUCAGCCAUAAUGUUGAAUGACAGCAGCUUGACGAUUCACAAUGCCAAUUUCAAUAACAAAUACUUGCUAUUCGAACACACAUUUUUUCUAGUUUAAGUAAUUAUUCAAGAUAAGUAAACAGUCUACUAGGCUGCAUUUACAUUUUAAGCUGUUUGUUCACUUUAAUGUUUAAACAUGAUUGACUGUGUUUAUAUUAAUACCUCAUCAAGACGGGCAUUUUAUUUAUUUUUUUUUCAUCCCAAUUUGGAAUGCCCAAUGCGCUCUGAGUCCUCGUGGUGGUGUAGUGACUCGCCUCAAUCCGGGUGGCGGAGGACGAAUCUCAGUUUCCUCCGUGUCUGAGGCCGUCAAUCCGCGCAUCUUAUCACGUGGCUUGUUGAACACGUUACUGCGGAGACAUAGCGCAUGUGGAGGCUUCAUGCUAUUCUCCGCAGCAUCCACGCACAACUCGCCACGUGCCCCACUGACAGUGAGAACCACACAUUAUACUCUACCCUCCCUAGCAACUGGGCCAAUUUGGUUGCUUAGGAGACCUGGCUGGAGUCACUCAGCAUGCCCUGGAUUCGAACUCGCAACUCCAGGGGUGGUAAGACGGGCAUUUUCAAAGAAUUUUGAAGCGUAUUUUACCGUGUAGGCACAUUUCUGCAAGCUCACAAAAAGCAAAACAGUGCACAAGGACCAGAAAGAGUAAAUAAAAGGCUGUGUCAGGGUUUAGAGUGGAUGACCUCAAGGGCUGGACUCAGAUAGCCACCAGUUCUCUUUGGGCUGAUAAAUGGUUCCCGCCAUCCCUGGUGGAAUUGCAGGCUCAUCCCAUUGGCUGCUGAUGUUUUUAUUUUUUAUCUCUUGAUCAAAACUGACACUAUGCAGCUGAACUUUCUGGACACCUACCUCAGCUGGGAUUUUUGGGUUAAUUGAAUCUGGUUUGACAAACUCUUUGAUCAAUACUAUUUCAGGAGCAACUGGAUUUCUUACUGGGUGCAUAAGAGGAGAAAUUCAAAGACUCAAGUAUAUCACUACAGAAAGGCACUACGGUGUCAGUGUGACAUUGUGAGGAGGAAAUGUUUGUGUGUUUUUAACACUGGCAGUGGGCAGAAGUUCUCUGGAUGGGUAUAUUAAGCUAAUCUUGUUGUAUGUUUUCCUUUAAAUUCAAUGGGGAAGACAUGAUUUAAUUGGUUAUGUUCUCCUAAAUGGUUGCUUCCAUGUUACUAUUUCACAUGGGGAAAACUUUAGGCCAUUUGUUGUCAUUUGUAUGUUUUCAGUUAACCUGUUUUGGUAUCAAGUGUUUAAGUGCCAUUGGUACCCACCAACACCACUACAUGUCAUGAAAACAUCUAAACAUAUCACUUAGUACAUAUUACCUCCGUCAUGCGGUAUAUUAAAGGGUGCUGUUACUAUUUGAAAGGAUACUAUUACAGCUUGAAACAUCAUUUAUGUGUGAUGCGAUUUAAAGAAUGGUGUUCUUUGUGCUUACUUCUGUAAGAUAAGGCAGUGUGGCCACUUGUCUGUCAUGCGUGUUGUUGUUUUUUCUGUUUUUGAUGAAAUGGCACAUGCUAGAUUGCAGCAAUGUAUGAUAACAUAUUGAAUUGUUUGAUAGAGAUGUGUGGGUGAUGUUGAGUAUGUGAGAUUGCAUCUGAAAUUGUUACUCGCUGCUUUUAAAAGUCACAUGGCCCAUCACUGCAGAUGAAAUAGCAUGUUUUUGUCUGUGUGAGUGUGUGUGUGUGUGUGUGUGUGUGUGUGUGUCAUUUUAAAUAACCAUGCUCCUCGCUGGAUUGGAGUUUUAUUGUAAAGAUCAUUCAGUUACCGUGCGGAAGUAAUGUUAAAGAUUAACUCGAUGAAGCCACCAGUAUUAUAAUUUUAGACAUAUUUUGUUCUUUUUUUCUUACACCCCUCCCACCCUUUUUGGUGCAAAUAAUAUUUCACUACAGAUGAUCUGUCUGAUGUCUUUACAGGUCAACCAGCUUUAACAUGUUAUAUGUGCUUAUGAGAGUGUCUGUUGCUGUAUGAGUGGUUGCCAUUUUAUUCAGACCUUUUCAGGUCCUGGACAUUUUUUUAAAUUAAUUAAUUAAUUGGUUGAUUUGGUAUCCUCUUUGAUGUUUCCGUAUGAGCACUAGUGCUGAUAUAAUUUCUCGUGGUGAUUUUGCCAAAAUGCUUUUAUGGUCUUUGCUGAAAACUGUGCUUUGUGUUUGGAUUGAUUUUCCAUUCUCUCCAUGCGCUUGUCCUUUAGUAAGGGGAAUUCUUGCAAGAACUGAAUACAGUGACUACAAAUUGGUGCUCUCACUGACAUUUCUCUCACAACAGAUGAAUCUCUUUGCAUAAUUAUUAUUGUCUGCUGAUCUAGGCAGAUCAAUUCCAUGGAUCGGUCUCUCUCUCUCUACAUAUAUUUAUGUUGUGGGUUUUUGGGGCAUCACCCAUUACCUUCCUGUUGUGGGUGGCUAUUCAGUUUUCAUAUAAUAAUUAUAAUAAAAUUUCACAUGGAGGCUUUUCAGAUUGGAAAAGGAAUUGGAGGAAACGACCCCUGAAAUGAAUUUUGGCUUCUGUGACCAUUAGCAAAAAGAAAGGGAAAAAAAGGCAUUGUUGGGCAUAUUUAUGUAAACUCUAACCUGAGAUCAAGCCAGUUCGUGUUUGCUUUUUACUGUCUAAAGCAGUAUGCAUAUCCCAAUGUACACCAUUAAAAACCACAAUUACAAAGUAUUUCUACAACAUGUUGAACAGAGAGUACAAAUGUGUCUUAGCAGAAUGGGAAUAAUGUGUUGCUGCAAAAGGGUUCAAAUAAAUGUAAUCUUCAGCAUCAUUGCUGAAGUUCAAGGUCAAACCAUUUGGUUCUCAGAUGUGCCAUUUAUAAAUGAGCAGAUGAAAUCUGUAGCAAAUUUCCUAAUUCUUAUAGUUUUAUAAUAAAUGCUUUUAUUUUGAAAUCUGAAAUAUUUAUUGUUGCAUUAUUUGUUGGUCAAUGUUUUUCUGUUAAGCGCACCUGUUUAGAAGUAGACCUCAAAAUUCAUUCAAAAGUUAUUGUUAGAAUGAUGUUCAUAAAAUGCAGCUUGAUCCAUAUAAAUGGACUUUCUAAGUUCAUGUAUGUUGUGCUUUUGUGAGUUUAAUUAAGCAUAUUCUUCUACUUUCAGGUUAUCAUGAAAAAAAAACUGGUUGCUUUCCCAAUGUCUACAAUAUGACUCAUUAUUUCAAAACAGCAUGCAAUUUUAUGACCAACAUUUCAUUAAAUGAAAAUACAUUUGGGAUUUUUAUGGAUCAAAUGGAUGGGAAAUUAGCCAUGUUGAGAGUUAAACAGCUCACCAGAUGAAUUGAACCUUUCGGUGACGUCUCCUCUCCAUCUGCCUCCCUCAGACCCCUGCUAUGCCACCACUGACAAAUGCCUACAGUAAAUAGAAACACAACUAUAUUUAGAAAUGCUCAUGGUAAUCUGACUCUGAACACUGGGAAACAGGAUUCAUUGAUAGUCGAUAUAACCUUUCAUUGUGUUAUCAGUGUAUACACAUUAAAGUGAUUACAGAAAGGCAAUUUUGCAAUUGUUAAGUUACAAUUAGAACAGUGUAAAUAAAAACAAAUGUUAAGAAAUCUUAAUGUCAUUUUGGAGUCAGAUCUUAGUUUCAGUAGUCGCAUCAAAGCAAUAACUAAAUCAGCCUACUAUCAUCUAAAAAAAUUAAUCCAGAAUUAGAUGUUUUGUAUCUAGUGAAGACUUAGAGAAACUUGUUCAUACAUUCAUCACAAGUAGGAUAGACUACUGCAAUGGACUCCUAACCGGCCUUCACAAAAAGACCAUUAGACACCUGCAGCUCAUUCAGAAUGCCGCUGCCAGGAUUCUCACCCGAACCAAAAAAUUGGAGCAUAUUACUCCAGUCCUCAGGUCUUUACACUGGCUUCCAGUUACAUUUAGAAUAGAUUUUAAAGAACUAUUACUCGUUUUUAAAUCACUCAAUAGCCUAGGACCUAAAUACAUUUCAGAUAUGCUUGUUGAAUAUAAACCUAACAGACCUCUCAGAUCAUUAGGACCAAGUCAGUUAGACAUACAGAGGGUUCGCUCAAAACAAAGUGAGACAGCGUUUAGCUACUAUGCCACCCGCAGCUGGAACCAGCUUCCAGAAGAGGUUAGAUUUGCGCCAAACAGUAGCCACAUUUAAAUCCAGACUGAAAACACUUCUGUUUAGCUGUGCAUUUAUUGACUGAGCACUGUGCUGCACUUAUUGAUUUCACUGAAUCAUUUUGCUUUUGUCUUUUCAUUUUAGUUAUUCUAUUUAAUUAUUUUUAUUUUAUAUAACUUUUUCUCAAUGUGUUUACAAUUUUUGGUUAUCCUCUGUUUAAUCAGGGAAGGUUAACAACAGUUACGUGUGGUGUUAACAACUUAGUUAUCCUCUGCUGUGCCAGGGAAGGUGAACAAAAAUUAAAGUGUGUAUCAGCAAUUUUUGGAUAUCCUCUGUUGAAUCGGGGAAGGUUAACAGCAGUUACGGAUGGUGUUAACAAUUUAAUAUUAUUUUUCUUCUUAUUCAUUUGAAUCAUUUGACAUUUUUUCAAAUUUAUUUUAUUAUUCUUAUUUCAUGUUCUUAAUUUUUUUUCUUUUUUUUUAUGUAUCUUGUAUUUUCUUUAAAAUGUAUAUGUAAAGCACUUUGAAUUGUCAUUGUGUAUGAAAUGUGCUAUAUAAAUAAACUCGCCUUGCCUAAAAGACA